rnacentral:rRNA from 1 species
GAUGAACGCUGGCGGCGUGCUUAACACAUGCAAGUCGAACGGAAAGGCCCAAGCUUGCUUGGGUACUCGAGUGGCGAACGGGUGAGUAACACGUGGGUGAUCUGCCCUGCACUUCGGGAUAAGCCUGGGAAACUGGGUCUAAUACCGGAUAGGACCACAUUUUGGAUGGUGUGGUGGAAAGUUUUUCGGUGUGGGAUGAGCUCGCGGCCUAUCAGCUUGUUGGUGGGGUAAUGGCCUACCAAGGCGUCGACGGGUAGCCGGCCUGAGAGGGUGUACGGCCACAUUGGGACUGAGAUACGGCCCAGACUCCUACGGGAGGCAGCAGUGGGGAAUAUUGCACAAUGGGCGCAAGCCUGAUGCAGCGACGCCGCGUGGGGGAUAACGGCCUUCGGGUUGUAAACUCCUUUCGCUAGGGACGAAGCGCAAGUGACGGUACCUGGAGAAGAAGCACCGGCUAACUACGUG